CGCCUCACCCUCCCGUCACACAUGCCUGUGCCUCUUCUCCUCUGAGCACUGAGCUCCACCACUGUCCACCGUCCAACCUCCACUCUCCUCCCGACAUCAUCGACCGAUUAACCAUUGCAGCUAACUCGGGUCAUCGAUCUUCGCUUGCAACACUGAGUCGCCGACUAUACCUCUCUGUAGCUCUCUAGUCUCUCUCUCCAGUCUCCACACAAUCGUCGGUCGUCGCUCUUCACGCACUCUUGGGCCGUCGCUCUCCAGUCCAUCGGCUCUCAACGCUGUGAGCAACUUGGUUGUCCUCAAUCCUCUGUCUUCCUCAGUCCUCAGGCUUUCUCAGUUCUCAGUCUUCGCCUCCUCGGUCCUCAUCAGCAACUAUAAAAAUACUUGCAGGGUAACUACUUAAGUGGCCUAAUUCCAGGGGAACUAGGAAACUUGUCAGAGCUUCAAUAUUUGUGUCGUGGAUCAUUGAAUUAGGAUGUGUUCUGGGUUUCCAUUUCUGGCCAUUCUUUAUUGAUUUGUUCCCCACUUAUUAAUCAAUUGACGUCAAGAGG